rnacentral:rRNA from 1 species
GAUGAACGCUGGCGGCGUGCCUAAUACAUGCAAGUCGAGCGAACGGACGAGAAGCUUGCUUCUCUGAUGUUAGCGGCGGACGGGUGCGUAACACGUGGAUAACCUACCUAUAAGACUGGGAUAACUUCGGGAAACCGGAGCUACUACCGGAUGAUAUUUUGAACCGCAUGGUUCAAAAGUGAAAGUCGCUCUUUCUUUCACUAAUAGCUGAUCCCGCGCUCCAUUAGCUAGUGGGUAAGGAAACGGCUUACCAAGGCAACGAGGCAUAGCCGACCUGAGAGGGUGAUCGGACACACGGGAACUGAGACACGGUCCAGACUCCUACGGGAGGCAGCAGUAGGGAAUCUUCCGCGAUGGGCGAAAGCCGGACGGAGCAACGCCGCGUGAGUGAUGAAGGUCUUCGGAUCGUAAAACUCUGUUAUUAGGGAAGAACAUAUGUGUAAGUAACUGUGCACAUCUUGACGGUACCUAAUCAGAAAGCCACGGCUAACUACGUG